AUUCACAGGAAUCUAUCUGGCGUUGAUGUCCAUAAUACAACACAGAAUCUCAAAUUAAGGCAGAAUCUCAAACCUUGUCUUUGGUCUUUAAGGAUGCCGGAGCCCCAGUUGAUGGGCUACAAGCCCACUAGUGUGGAGGGAUCAGAGUAUGUCAGAACUUACAAGCGCUAUAAAGACAUGGAGCACAACAAUGGC